AGUAGCACUAGCACAUUCCCAAUAUCUCUCAAGUCCUCAUCGGGCGAGAGCCGCUAGAUCCCGCAACCAAGUUGCAGGGUUUUAAUUAAUCACUUCAUCAAAUCUGGCCCAGUCCAUCAGUCGAUACAGCACGUGCCUGCAAAAACAUUUAAAACCGAGGCAGCAUUCAGCCCAUCAAGACCAAACAGCGAAACACAAUGCCAUGGAAGAAGAAAAUCACUAGAGGCAAACCAACCACAGGGAAGCAAAUGCACCACAAAUCAAACUUGCCUGGUAAUAAAUCUCAGCCCAGAACAGAACCAAAAGGGCAUAUGUUGUAAAGAAAGCAAGACUUGGCACGUCAAUCAGGAUGUGUUGAACAAUCUAUACACACAAAUGCAGUGUGAAUGAGUAUAUAUACGAGUGUAACCAUAUCCUGUAACUAAAAAAUAAUAAAUAAUUAAUACUAUUUAAGAAAAUAAUUCAAAUUAAAUGUUUAUUCCAUUCCCUAUACCUCUGGCUUCAACCUCUGUACGUUUCGAAAGAAGAUGAAAACUAAACACCGAACUGCAAAAAAAAAAAAAAAAAUGUGUGCAUACACCCUUAACAAAUUGUUACACUAAAAAACCAUUUCAAAAAAACAGGAAAAGAAGUUUGAAGAAUACAAACCCCCGUUCACCAAAAAAUUGAGAAAGUGAAAGACCUUCUGCGUGGUCCAACCAUACUCCGGUACUCUCAAUUGUAUCCGAAACAGUUGAACCUAAAAUCCAAUAAAAUAAUAAUUAUAAAAAAAAAGGAAUAAACAAAAAUAAAACCCUAAUUUGAAACUACGCGACGAUACCAAAGCUACUGUGGCCACGACACCGUAGAGCACGGCGAGUGUGUAAAAGAUACGAUCCUGCCACAGCGGAGAGUUGUCGAUGUCGUGCCACCAGCUGAAGGCGUCAGUGAGCUCAAGCGCCGCCACCGCCGCCGGCAUGCCGUCGUUGCCCAUUCUCGAAUCGACGGUUUCUUUGGAGAGUGAAUGAAUGAACUAAGAAAUCAGCAGUGUAAUAUGAGGUUGUGUGAUAACAAGGAAUUAUUGUGUACGUGUGUAUCAAGCAUCAACCUCCAGGGUUUUUAUAAAUAAAAAAAAAAAAAAAAAAAA